rnacentral:tRNA from 1 species
GGUCCUAUGGUGUAAUGGUUAGCACUCUGGAAUUUGAAUCCAACGAUCCGAGUUCAAAUCUCGGUGGGACCU